rnacentral:rRNA from 1 species
GACGAACGCUGGCGGCGUGCCUAAUACAUGCAAGUCGACCUUAGUGGCGGACGAGUGAGUAACACGUGGGAACCUACCCAUCCGAGGGGGAUAACACUUGGAAACAGGUGCUAAUACCCACCUCUGAUUGAUGGGCCCGCGGUGCAUUCGCUAGUUGAUGCGGUAAAGGCCUACCAAGGCGACGAUCCGUAAAGGGUCUGAGAGGAUACUCAGUCACACUGGAACUGAGACACGGUCCAGACUCCUACGGGAGGCAGCAGUGGGGAAUAUUGGACAAUGGGCGCAAGCCUGAUCCAGCCAUGCCGCGUGUGUGAAGAAGGUCUUCGGAUUGUAAAGCACUUUAAGUUGGGAGGCGUUACCAACAGAAUAAGCACCGGCUAACUUCGUGCCAGCAGCCGCGGUAAUUC